ACUUCUUCUUUCACAACCAUGUCUUUUUAAUGUGUGCAGCAUGUGGUUUUGUAUUGGGACACCCCUUGAAAAUAUGUCAUUUUAAAGACAAAUCAUAUGUUUUUUCUAAGCUUUUAAUCUGCUUUUCUGCAUAAAUGCUUUACCCCAGAAGUUUACUGACUCUACAUGUAAGGCCGUCAACAAACAUUAUGAUGAAACUGGCACUCAUCAGGACCACCCCAAGAAAGAAAGAGUGAGAGUUUCCUCUGUUGUACAGGAUAAGUUCAUCAGAGUUACCAGCCUCAGAAAACACAAGUUAACAGCUCCCCAGAUGAAAGCAACUAAAUGCUUCUCUACAGAGUAUUUUAGUUUGUUUUUAAUGUUUUUAAGUUACUACAUGAUUCCUUAUGUGUUCCUUUAUAUGCUGGAUGACUUUACUAUUCAUUUACUAUGUAGGAAAAAUACAAAUAAAAUAAAAACAUUGAAUGAGAAGGUCAAAAUCUAAAUUUGACUGGAACUGUAUUUUAUUGAAUGCAAUUGGGUUAGGCAGAUAAAACAUUAAAUAUUUUGAGUUCCUAUUGUCUGCAAUUACACAAGAUUCAACAUUUUCUGAUUCAAAUCCUGGAACUUCCUCGUCCUGAUUAAAUUAUACUGUACUGUUUACUGUAAUAUGUGUUAAAACAUUCCCCCUGCUGUCUCUCUCUCUCUCUCUCUCUCUCUCUCUCUCUUUCUCUUUCUUUCUGUUCAAACCAGAAGAAUGCAAUAAGCUCGACCCACGCUCCUCCCAAGUCAAUUUUGUGGCCAAUUCUGGCGACGCCUCCUUCUGUGGAUGACCAGACAUUCCAAGCAGCUCAUCUUCUCAGAUUGAUUUAUGUGUGUAUUGUGUUUUGGAAUAAACACAGGCUCGUCUGAAUCAACUCUUUGCUCAGCGAAUAAAAAGCGAAUCCCACAGCAGUGCUGUUUAAACACGUCCUCAUCAUGCUGGGAUCCACUCUGCUCGGGCUGAUGGUGGUUACCCUGGUUUGGGGUCAGCAGUACCCCAUCCCACCAACCUGCUACAGCAAAGUGCUGACCAUGGCCGUGGAUAUCAAUGCGAGAGCAGCGCAGAUCAAGAACGUCUACGACACUAUGGGAUGUUCUACACACCUGCCUGACCUGUAUAUUGAUGUGCACAAUGCGUGUGUGAUUUCCACCAUGAGCUCAUAUCUGUCCAACCUGCGCAGCAUCAGGGUGGGACGCUGCGGAUACUCCAGACCAGUGCAGCUACUGAUGACCAGCAUCAAUCAGCUGAACCACAUCAUUGCACAGAAAUGCCACGGGGAACUGGCCUUCACCUAUGAUGACUGUGCUGUACUGCGAGGUAGAAGAUACUAAGAAGAAGCAAAAUUAAGGAGUUUAUACCCAGCUCAUUCAGUACAUCACUUUAUGACUAUAUAUGAAGUUUUAUUAUAGUUCUAAACUUUUGCUGUAUGUCUUUAUUCUAAAUACUAAUGUUUUUGUUCUUUUAUGUGAGUAUGUUCUAUGUAUACUUUCUUUCACGUAAACUUGUUUCUGAGCUUCAAUCUUAUAAACAAAUAUAUAAAAAUAUUAUAUAAUAUUAUAUUAUAUUAUAUAUUUUUAAACCUUUGUUGUUCAGUGUUUUCAUAAUCUCAUUUAUCAAAUAUUACAGCAAAUAAAUUUUGAUUGCAUCACA
ensembl:lncRNA